GAGCAUUUAUCGAGUUGGAUUCGGGUCAGAUGAUCCCUGUUUGUCUCUCUCACCAGAAUGUUACGCACUCAGUCUUUUUUCUCCUUGUAACUCCAGGGCCCAGCGCAGCAUUCAGCAAGUAGAGAGUUUAAAUGCCGGUUGAGUGAAUGAAGACAGAAUGAUCAUUUCAGUUUGCCAGGGAACCAUACCCAUUGUCUACAAGUAAAUGCUUAUAAAGGGGCUCGAUGGUAAUUCAUGUUUGUCUUUAUUUCUCCUUCAGGUAAGCUAUUGAACUUCUUUCAAGUUCAAAAACUGGGGGGAGUUUUAAGUACACUGUAUUCCCUUCUGCUGUCCUAUUGUAUUUUCCCUUUUUUCUUUUGGCCUUGCUCCAGUUAUGACCUAGUGAGAAGACCACAAGUACGUUACCCUACUGCUGCGGCUGAGAUAAAGGGAGACGAGAGAGGUACUCACCUGGGGCACAUUUACAGGAGUACCACAAAAAACCUCAAUCAUCAAGGACAGGACACCAUCAACACCAGCCAGAAAAAAUUGCCAUGGUUUCUUGCUGAGGAAGGCAUCAGACCUUCAAAAGUAGCUGAUUCCAGCCAGCCGCUGUCAUCACACAAGAAGCUCUUGCGAACUGACCUGCCAUGUAAGAAGAAUGAGCCUCUAAACGUGGCCACAGCUCAGUGAUACUGACCCACCACCCACCGUCUCUUUGCUGAACCGAGGUUCCAAAACAGAUGCUGCGGAAAUCGGCCUGUAGUGAGAUAUCUGGCCACCAGGAGGCAGCACGAGACCAUAGCUUUCCCGGAAGAUUAAGCAAGUUCCAAUCAGCAAAGCAGGAUCUCGGGGUUUCUAAUAAAGUCUGCAUAUUAGAAUCAUCUGACGAACUUUCAUAAAAUCCCAGGGGCCUGGGCUCCAUCUCAAGCCAGUUGCAUCUUAUAUCCCUGGGAAAGGGGGCACAGACUUUCAGUUUCUCCAGUGAUUCCAAUCUGCGAAGAGAGUUGACAACGACUCAUGGAGAACACUGAAUCCUGAAAACUGUAAAGGCUUUUGGGAAUCACCUAGUCUACCCUGAUUGCCCCAUUCCACAGCUGCAGGAACUGAGGCCAGAAACAAU
rnacentral:lncRNA from 1 species